AAGAACCUAUUCCUACAAUAACACCAAAACAGAUCCACAUGACCCCUGUACGUUUCUUCUUCUUCAACGGGACGAACCCAAAAACGAAACCUAGAACAAUCGCUACCCGAAUCCCACUCCAAUGUCAUUUUCUCCCUCUCUCCCUCAUCCCCUCUGUACAUGAGCAGUGCUAGGUGGAAGAAUCUCCUCCUAUAACGUCCUUGGUUUGAAAUUGGGCGACUCUCCUCUCUUUUCCGUUGUGAACUCGUACAAUUGUAGCUGACAACCUUAUCCCUUCACGAAAUUCGAAUUUCGAAUUCAAAUUUCGAAUCCAAUUCCAUUCCUCCUUUAAAUCAACCCUUAUAUUCCUCUAUUUAAAGCCCUCACCCUCUUCAUUCUAAAGGGGGAAGAAAAAUUUGAAAAUUCUUUUUGGAGAUAGCUGAUAUUGAGUUGGAAAAAGUGGGGAAAAAAGGUUGGGGAAAUUUUUUUUCUGGAAAGAAUUUUCAUAGAAAGAAUCGCUCUGCUACAACAUAAGAAAUACAUCUUAAAUAUAUAAUCUCUUUACUUAUUCGCGUGUUGCUGGGUAUUUGUCGGAUCUUUGGUGAAGUCGCGGUUCAUCUAAGCUCGUAGCUGUCCCGUUUCCUGCUUCGAAAAAAUCUUCAUGAACUUCUCCCCUCUCCUUGCAUUUCCUGAAUUGGGCCUAACAGGACCAACACUUCUCUCUAUCAAGUCCAAAAAUAGCCGACGAACAAUUUACAGGCAAUACAGGGGCUGGAAAUUAAUUAUCGAUGUCCAAAAGCUCAAAAAGGAGUUUUAUUCCUGCUGUAUAAAACGAUAUACACAGAAAAGACAGUGAUAUACAGGUUCAGUAUGGAAAGGCAGGUUGAUGAAGUCAGAAUUACAAAGUUCAAAUAAAAAUACAGGUUUCGGAAAGCCCAAAUGGGCUGGAUACUAGUCAUAUGCAACAGUAUACAUCAAAUGUAUACCAGAUUUUUCAGGAGAAAUGGGCCAAAGAUCAUUCAAAAUAGUCACUGGAUAAAAGCCCCAUUUCUCCAUUUCUGUAAAUAGCCAAAUUUAUACUCUCUCCCCUUUCCUAUUAAUUAUUUGUGAUUACGUUGACUAACAUUAUAUUUAUGAUUUGGUUUUAACUUAAUUAAUUUCCAAAAUAUAGUCAUAGCUUC